GAGCCACUGCGCCUGGCCUAGAUAUUCAUUUCUACAACUCACUGAGCACCCACCCCGAUUCGGGACUCGGUACUGGGUAUCCAGGGAUGCGUAUGACCAGCUCUGCCCUCAAUAGCGGCUCAACACAGGGAGACCUUCAGGUUCUUGGAUAAACAAGCUCUGACGAUCAUUCCCAAACAAGAGUUCAAAAAUGUUUUCCGCAAUAGCAAUGAUAUGGACGGAAAGGAUGCCCUCCUGCACUGAUGCCUCUGGAGGACCACACUUUCCAUUCAGAGACACGCUCAGCACUCAACUCAUGCUGCACACCCGGCCGACCCCAGUACCGACACUCACAGAAUGCAGGUUGGAGAGAGAUGCCGACUUCCGAGGAGGUGUCUUCUUCGGACUGAACGUAUUCCCAAAGAAAGGCAUCUUUGGCCUGAUGAAAGCAAAGCCAGUGCUCCCUUCUCCUAGGGUCAGAAAAAGUCAGGGGUACAAGCAGCUGGAUCACUGACCUUAUGCCAUUGUCUUCAAAUCUUGAAGACAUACAUUUUAUCAUGUGGCUACUAACGAUCCUGGUGCUAUGGUUUGAAUGUCCCCACCAAAACUCAUGUUGAAAUUGAAU
rnacentral:lncRNA from 1 species